rnacentral:lncRNA from 1 species
GCGUUUUCAUCACCCCAAGUUGGCAAGUUACUCAAAGGAUACGUGAGGGUUUGGGAACUCUCCUUGGUUUCCUGGGCACUGGGAAGCCCAGGCUUCUCUAAUCACUGGGAAGCGAGACGAUUUAGCCUCACAAUUAGCAAACAUUUGCUAAAUGCAACUAGGUGCCCUGUUCUGGCUGCAGGCCAAGCUCCGUGCCAGGUUUCAUCUUACUUCAUUCUGAUUAUCGACAUCUCACUGCCGAGGAAACAGACUUGCAGACACCGAUGAGAAAACUUAGGAGCCAGCUGGGGAGGGAGGACUGGCCCAAAGUCACAGUCAACAGGAGGAAGCGGCGCGCGCCUAGCUACGCAAAACCGCAGGAUGGAAAAACGCAGAGCAGAACGCACCCUGACCUGGCAGAGCAUCUGUAGUGGAGAGAAUGGGAUUUUAGAGGAACGCUGAAAAUAAAACAAGAAAACAAAAGACCAGAGGAAAGUAUUGCUAGGGUGAAGAGGGAGCGCCUUGGCUCCUUUGCCACCAACCCAGCCCCAGUGAGAGUUUACCCCCUAACUUUGAGGGUGCCCUCCCAUCCCCAGAGCCCUUGGUUUUACGUCUAAGUACACUCCCCUUGCAGGGAAGCGCCAGCUCCGUGACCCUGGUUCUCUAAACAUUUUC